rnacentral:rRNA from 1 species
GACGAACGCUGGCGGCGUGCUUAACACAUGCAAGUCGAACGGAAAGGCCCCUUUGGGGGUACUCGAGUGGCGAACGGGUGAGUAACACGUGCGUAACCUGCCCUUGACUUCGGGAUAACUUCAGGAAACUGGGGCUAAUACCGGAUAGGAAUCCUUGCUGCAUGGUGGGGGUUGGAAAGCUUCGGCGGUUUUGGAUGGACUCGCGGCUUAUCAGCUUGUUGGUGGGGUAGUGGCUUACCAAGGCUUUGACGGGUAGCCGGCCUGAGAGGGCGACCGGCCACAUUGGGACUGAGAUACGGCCCAGACUCCUACGGGAGGGAGCAGUGGGGAAUAUUGCAAAAUGGGCGGAAGCCUGAUGCAGCAACGCCGCGGGCGGGAGGACGGCCUUCGGGUUGUAAACCGCUUUCAGCAGGGGCGAAGCUUGUGGUGACGGUACCUGCAGAAGAAGCACCGGCUAACUACGUG